rnacentral:pre_miRNA from 2 species
AACAUUCAACGCUGUCGGUGAGUUUGGAUGCAUAAUAAACCAUCGACCGUUGGCUGUGCC